UAGCAUUCACAUAAUCCACUUGUAUGCCGCUCAGAGCUGUGCUGUUGGAGUUCUCAGUGUUCGUGUAGAACGCCAAAGCGGAAUUGGAGUUGACGUAUGUACAUAUGUAUGGGGCCUGAAAAACUACCUUUUUCUUAAGUGAGCUUGUAGAAUCUGUUGAUAACUGAUUGAUAAAAGCUAUGUGUUUCAUAGUUCAUAAUUCGUUGGACAAAUGGAUCGUAAAUUUUGGUGUUAACAAAAAAAGAUAUAUGAAAGAGAGGAAUGAAAAUCAGUCAGCUAGAAGUACUAUGACUCCAAUAAUUUCGUGUGAAGGGAUUACUUUUCUUCCAAUAUCUCGAAAAACGGAAAGUCACUACACUCCGCUGGAAAGAGUUCUAUCGACAAUGAGGGAGUAACUUCAAGACUAAGAGGGUCGUUGAAAAAGAUGUAUAUUCCUUAAUGCAGAAAAGAAAGCACAAAAUUCCUCUAUGGAGGUUCCCUUCGAUAAAUGGGGCGCAACACUCUCUCAAGGACCGCACCAAGUACUUUGGGGUAGUCUUGGACAGAAAAUUGCUGUAGAAGCCGUACGGAUAUCCACUUACCAGAAGCCAAUGGAAAGGGUACAGAGGCUCGCUUCUCUGUGCAUAACAGGAGAUUGAAGAACUGGUACUUAACCUGCCACCUAGAGACCUCUUCACUGAAAACUGCUUAGCAGCAUCGUCGGUACGACUACUGGCAGUAAACAAAUUUAC